CGACACGGUGACGUGGGGCGGAUCCCUGAAAACCGGUCUCAGUUCGGAUCGCAGUCUGCAACUCGACUGCGUGAAGGUGGAGUCGCUAGUAAUCGCGGAUCAGCAACGCCGCGGUGAAUGCGUUCCCGGGCCCUGUACACACCGCCCGUCAAGUCAUGAAAGUGGGCAGCACCCGAAGACGGUGGCCUAACCCUUGUGGGGGGAGCCGUCUAAGGUGAGGCUCGUGAUUGGGACUAAGUCGUAACAAGGUACC
rnacentral:rRNA from 1 species